AACUCAAAUGAAUUGACGGUCCCCCUACGGGAGGCAGCAGUGGGGAAUUUUGCACAAUGGGCGAAACCCUGAUGGAGCAAUUCCGCGUGAGUGAAGAAGGCUUUCGGGUUGUAAAGCUCUUUUAUAUGGAAAGAAAAGGUGCGGUAUAACAUAGCGUGCUAAUGACGGUACCUUCAGAAAAAGCCCCGGCUAACUACGUGCCAGCAGCCGCGGUAAUACGUAGGGUGCGAGCGUUAUUCGGAAUUAUUGGGCGUAAAGCGUGCGCAGGCGGUUUGUUAAGUAAGAUGUGAAAUCCCCGGGCUCAACCUGGGAAGGUCAUUUGAAACUGGCAGACUAGAGUGCGUAAGAGGGGAGUGGAAUUCCACGUGUAGCAGUGAAAUGCGUAGAGAUGUGGAGGAACACCAAUGGCGAAGGCAGCCCCCUGGUAUGACACUGACGCUGAGGCACGAAAGCGUGGGGAGCAAACAGGAUUAGAUACCCUGGUAGUCCACGCCCUAAA
rnacentral:rRNA from 1 species